rnacentral:rRNA from 1 species
AUUGAACGCUGGCGGCAGGCCUAACACAUGCAAGUCGAGCGGAUGAAGGGAGCUUGCUCCUGGAUUCAGCGGCGGACGGGUGAGUAAUGCCUAGGAAUCUGCCUGGUAGUGGGGGAUAACGUCCGGAAACGGGCGCUAAUACCGCAUACGUCCUGAGGGAGAAAGGGGGGGAUCUUCGGACCUCACGCUAUCAGAUGAGCCUAGGGCGCAUUAGCUAGUUGGUGGGGUAAAGGCCUACCAAGGCGACGAUCCGUAACUGAGCUGAGAGGAGGACCAGCCACACUGGAACUGAGACACGGUCGCGACUCCUGCGGGAGGCGGCAGUGGGGAAUCUUGCACGAUGGUCGAAAACCUGACGGCGCAGCGCCGCGUGAGUGAGGAAGGUCUUCGGAUCUUGAAACUCUUUUAUUAGGAAAGAACAAAAGUGUCCGGAACCCUGCCCGCCUGGACGGUACCUAAUAAGAAAGCCACGGCUAACUACGUG